GUCGUCAGCUCGUGUCGUGAGAUGUUGGGUUAAGUCCCGCAACGAGCGCAACCCUUAUCUUCAGUAGCCAGCAGGUAAAGCCGGGCACUCUGGAGAGACUGCCGGGGAUAACCCGGAGGAAGGUGGGGAUGACGUCAAAUCAUCAUGCCCCUUAUGAUUUGGGCUACACACGUGCUACAAUGGCGUAAACAGAGGGAAGCGAGCCCGCGAGGGGGAGCAAAUCCCAAAAAUAACGUCCCAGUUCGGAUUGUAGUCUGCAACCCGACUACAUGAAGCUGGAAUCGCUAGUAAUCGCGGAUCAGAAUGCCGCGGUGAAUACGUUCCCGGGUCUUGUACACACCGCCCGUCACACCAUGGGAGUCGGAAAUGCCCGAAGUCUGUGACCUAACCGUAAGGGAGGAGCAGCCGAAGGCAGGUCGGAUGACUGGGGUGAAGUCGUAACAAGGUGGCCGUAUCGGAAGGUGCGGCUGGAUCACCUC
rnacentral:rRNA from 1 species